GACGAACGCUGGCGGCGUGCCUAAUACAUGCAAGUCGAACGCACUGACAGAGAAACUUGUUUCUCUUGACGUGAGUGGCGCACGGGUGAGUAACACGUGGGAAACCUACCCUUCAGCGGGGGAUAACCGUCGGAAACGAUGGCUAAUACCGCAUAGGUCUUUUAACCGCCUGGUUGAAAGAGGAAAGACGGCUUCGGCUGUCACUGAAGGAUGGUCCCGCGGUGCAUUAGCUAGUUGGUAAGGUAACGGCUUACCAAGGCGAUGAUGCAUAGCCGACCUGAGAGGGUGAUCGGCCACAUUGGGACUGAGACACGGCCCAAACUCCUACGGGAGGCAGCAGUAGGGAAUCUUCCGCAAUGGACGAAAGUCUGACGGAGCAACGCC
rnacentral:rRNA from 1 species